UACAUACGGGGCUCUGCGUCAUGGAGCUAGAGCGCGGAGUCCUGCUUCGUGGAUAGCUUUGCAUCACUGAGGAAGUUAACCUUGCUUGCUUGCGACUGUAAUUUCCCAAUUGUUUGUCAAAGGGAGAAAAUGGCACCUGUGUGACUCAAUCAGGAUACUUAAAGUACUCUGUAAGACUUUGAAAUGCCAUCUCACGGUCUCCUUUCAGGAAGUUAGAGGUGCUAAAUGGCCUGCCUGAGUUCAACCAACAGCAGAGGCAGACGCCUGCUUAUGAGGGCUUCCUUUGGUUCUCGGCAAGCAGGUGAGAAGCUCGAAACUGGCUCUGUUCCACCUGGGAAUUCCACAGCCAGGUUGAUCUGGUCGCCAAGCCUGACUUGAAUGCGCGCGCACCAGGCCCGAGGAACUAACAACACAGGGGUGAGUCACCCGGGCUCACUGCAGCAGGAGACCCCUCCCCCCUGCCACUUGGGCCAAAGCCUGGUUGCCCAGCAACGAGACAUAAUAUAUAUAAAUAAAAUACAGCUUCUUGCUUCAGGAGGGAGGGCCGGUGUCUUCUCGCUUCUCCUGUCCAUUUCAUCCCCGUCCUAGCCCAGAUUCCUUGAUUCGAUGCUCAAAGCCCUCACUACAACAAUCAGUGGUGGAUUCCUAAUGGUGGGGGCUGGGUUCUGCCCGGCACCCAGUUAGAUAAAGUUGCCUCAGGGUGGUGCAGAGGGAUAGGCUUGGCAGGUACACUGGACUUUACCGCCUCGGUGACUGGGCGAGGGCGGUUUGGAUGGACUUGUGUGCCUCCUGAUCCUGAGUCAAAAAGAGCAGGAGGUGCCCCAGGCUUCUGCAGGGAAAUGUUGUCCAUUUCCCAGGCAUGGGUGGGACUUAGGCUACCUGUCAGCAGAAUCAGCUUCAGCCGGAUCUGCACGUUUGGCCAUUCACCUCGUCACUGCACUGCUCCCACAGCUCCUAAGAGAACCUUCUAUCAAGAGUUUCGUGUGCAGUCUCCAUCCUCUGUGCAGCCUAUUCUGUGCAUCCUCUGAAAUCUAGGUGGAGGCCUCCAUGCCUUCUGAGCUCUUGCAUUUGCCCCCUGCAGAAUUUUAGCACGACAUGGAUGUGGACAUUGGCAAAAUCUGCUCCCUCCUACACCUGGGCUGCCUGAGCCAUGGUUGGAGCAGCUGGGAUUCCAUACUGGAAUUUGAUGAACUGGGUCUUGAGACAGCUUCGAGGCAGUGGGCACUCCUGCUUUGAUGGCUCCACCAUUCUCAACGUGGUACGGGAAGAGAAGCCUUGAUGUCUGGAGAGCUCUGAGGGUCUCUUCUCCCGAUGCAGAAGAAAAGCUGACUAUUGAAUUGAUAUUUGUCUCUUGAAUAUGGGAGCGGCAUGGCUACACUCUUAGCAUUCUCCAUUGAACAUGCCUUCUCACUCCUGGCAUGCCAGUCUGCAUAGUUUCCUUUUAUUUAUAAAUGACAUCUGUAGAUCA
rnacentral:sRNA from 1 species